GCCCUAGUAACGGCGAGUGAAGCGGCAUCAGCUCAAAUUUGAAAUCUGGCUCUUUCAGAGUCCGAGUUGUAAUUUGCAGAGGGCGCUUUGGUGUCGGCAGCGGUCCAAGUUCCUUGGAACAGGACGUCACAGAGGGUGAGAAUCCCGUACGUGGUCGCUGACCUACACCGUGUAAAGCCCCUUCGACGAGUCGAGUUGUUUGGGAAUGCAGCUCUAAAUGGGAGGUAAAUUUCUUCUAAAGCUAAAUACUGGCCAGAGACCGAUAGCGCACAAGUAGAGUGAUCGAAAGAUGAAAAGCACUUUGGAAAGAGAGUCAAACAGCACGUGAAAUUGUUGAAAGGGAAGCGCUUGCAGCCAGACUUGCUUGUAGUUGCUCAUCCGGGCUUUUGCCCGGUGCACUCUUCUGCGAGCAGGCCAGCAUCAGUUUGGACGGUUGGAUAAAGGCCUCUGUCACGUACCUUCUCUCGGGAAGGCCUUAUAGGGGAGGCGUCAUGCAACCAGUCUGGACUGAGGUCCGCGCAUCUGCUAGGAUGCUGGCGUAAUGGCUGUAAGCGGCCCGUCUUGAAACACGGACCAAGGAGUCUAACAUCUAUGCGAGUGUUUGGGUGUCAAGCCCGAGCGCGUAAUGAAAGUGAACGGAGGUGGGAUCCCGCAAGGGUGCACCAUCGACCGAUCCUGAUGUCUUCGGAUGGAUUUGAGUAAGAGCAUGGCUGUUGGGACCCGAAAGAUGGUGAACUAUGCU
rnacentral:rRNA from 1 species